GGGUUAGGACCAAAUGGGCGAAGGCGACUUUCUGGUCUGUAACUGACACUGAGGCGCGAAAGCGUGGGGAGCAAACAGGAUUACAAACCCUGGUAGUCCACGCCGUAAACGAUGAGUGCUAAGUGUUAGAGGGUUUCCGCCCUUUAGUGCUGAAGUUAACGCAUUAAGCACUCCGCCUGGGGAGUACGGCCGCAAGGCUGAAACUCAAAGGAAUUGACGGGGGCCCGCACAAGCGGUGGAGCAUGUGGUUUAAUUCGAAGCAACGCGAAGAACCUUACCAGGUCUUGACAUCCUCUGACAACCCUAGAGAUAGGGCUUCUCCUUCGGGAGCAGAGUGACAGGUGGUGCAUGGUUGUCGUCAGCUCGUGUCGUGAGAUGUUGGGUUAAGUCCCGCAACGAGCGCAACCCUUGAUCUUAGUUGCCAUCAUUUAGUUGGGCACUCUAAGGUGACUGCCGGUGACAAACCGGAGGAAGGUGGGGAUGACGUCAAAUCAUCAUGCCCCUUAUGACCUGGGCUACACACGUGCUACAAUGGACGGUACAAAGAGCUGCAAGACCGCGAGGUGGAGCUAAAUCUCAUAAAACCGUUCUCAGUUUCGGAUUGUAGGCUGCACCUCCCCCUACAUGAAACUUGGAAUCGCUUAGUAAUCGCGGAAUCACCAUGCCCGCGGUGAAAUACGUUU
rnacentral:rRNA from 1 species